UACGUAGGGUGCAAGCGUUAAUCGGAAUUACUGGGCGUAAAGCGUGCGCAGGCGGUUUUGUAAGUCUGUCGUGAAAUCCCCGGGCUCAACCUGGGAAUUGCGAUGGAGACUGCAAGGCUAGAAUCUGGCAGAGGGGGGUAGAAUUCCACGUGUAGCAGUGAAAUGCGUAGAGAUGUGGAGGAACACCGAUGGCGAAGGCAGCCCCCUGGGUCAAGAUUGACGC
rnacentral:rRNA from 1 species